rnacentral:rRNA from 1 species
UGAGGAAUAUUGGACAAUGGGUUAGCGCCUGAUCCAGCCAUCCCGCGUGAAGGACGACGGUUCUAUGGAUUGUAAACUUCUUUUAUAUAGGGAUAAACCUACUCUCGUGAGAGUAGCUGAAGGUACUAUAUGAAUAAGCACCGGCUAACUCCGUGCCAGCAGCCGCGGUAAUACGGAGGGUGCAAGCGUUAUCCGGAUUUAUUGGGUUUAAAGGGUCCGUAGGCGGGCUUGUAAGUCAGUGGUGAAAUCCGGCAGCUCAACUGUCGAACUGCCAUUGAUACUGCAAGUCUUGAGUAAAGUAGAAGUGGCUGGAAUAAGUAGUGUAGCGGUGAAAUGCAUAGAUAUUACUUAGAACACCAAUUGCGAAGGCAGGUCACUAUGUUUUAACUGACGCUGAUGGACGAAAGCGUGGGUAGCGAACAGG